rnacentral:rRNA from 1 species
AUUGAACGCUGGCGGCAUGCCUUACACAUGCAAGUCGAACGGUAACAGGUCUUCGGAUGCUGACGAGUGGCGAACGGGUGAGUAAUACAUCGGAACGUGCCCGAUCGUGGGGGAUAACGUAACGAAAGCUUUGCUAAUACCGCAUAAGAUCUACGGAUGAAAGCAGGGGACCGCAAGGCCUUGCGCGAAAGGAGCGGCCGGUGGCAGAUUAGGUAGUUGGUGGGAAAAAAGCUUACCAAGCCGACGAUCUGUAGCUGGUCUGAGAGGACGACCAGCCACACUGGGACUGAGACACGGCCCAGACUCCUACGGGAGGCAGCAGUGGGGAAUUUUGGACAAUGGGCGAAAGCCUGAUCCAGCCAUGCCGCGUGCAGGAUGAAGGCCUUCGGGUUGUAAACUGCUUUCGUACGGAACGAAAAGACUCUUUCUAAUAAAGAGGGUCCAUGACGGUACCGUAAGAAUAAGCACCGGCUAACUACGUGCCAGCAGCCGCCGUAAAAC